rnacentral:rRNA from 1 species
AGCUUGUUGGUGAGGUAACGGCUCACCAAGGCGACGACGGGUAGCCGACCUGAGAGGGUGACCGGCCACACUGGGACUGAGACACGGCCCAGACUCCUACGGGAGGCAGCAGUGGGGAAUAUUGCACAAUGGGCGCAAGCCUGAUGCAGCGACGCCGCGUGAGGGAUGACGGCCUUCGGGUUGUAAACCUCUUUUGACAGGGACGAAGCGCAAGUGACGGUACCUGUAGAAGAAGCACCGGCCAACUACGUGCCAGCAGCCGCGGUAAUACGUAGGGUGCGAGCGUUGUCCGGAAUUACUGGGCGUAAAGAGCUUGUAGGCGGUCUGUCGCGUCGAUUGUGAAAACUUGCAGCUCAACUGCAAGCUUGCAGUCGAUACGGGCAGACUAGAGUACUGCAGGGGAGACUGGAAUUCCUGGUGUAGCGGUGAAAUGCGCAGAUAUCAGGAGGAACACCGGUGGCGAAGGCGGGUCUCUGGGCAGUAACUGACGCUGAGAAGCGAAAGCGUGGGUAGCGAACAGGAUUAGAUACCCUGGUAGUCCACGCCGUAAAACGGUGGGUACUAGGUGUGGG